GACAGAGGGUGCAACCGUUGUUCGGAAUUACUGGGCGUAAAGCGUGUGUAGGCGGCUUUGCAAGUCGGAUGUGAAAGCCCCGGGCUCAACCCGGGAAGUGCACUCGAUACUGCAGAGCUUGAGUGUCGGAGAGGUUGGUGGAAUUCUCGGUGUAGAGGUGAAAUUCGUAGAUAUCGAGAGGAACACCGGCGGCGAAGGCGGCCAACUGGACGAACACUGACGCUGAGACACGAAAGCGUGGGGAGCAAACAGG
rnacentral:rRNA from 1 species